GUGCAGCAGUCGCGAAACUUUACAAUGUGCGAAAGCACGAUAAGGGAACUCUGAGUGCCUCCUAAGGAGGCUGUUCAGGUGUCUAAAAAGCACCUGGAGUAAGGGCUGGGUAAGACCGGUGCCAGCCGCCGCGGUAACACCGGCAGCCCAGGUGGUAGCCACUUUUAUUGGGUCUAAAGCGUCCGUAGCCGGUUGAGUAAGUUCCUUGGGAAAUUUGGCUGCUCAACAGUCAAGCUUCCAGGGAAUACUGCUCGACUUGGGACUGGGAGAGGUCAGAGGUACUCCAGGGGUAGGGGUGAAAUCCAUUAAUCCCUGGGGGACCACCGGUAGCGAAGGCGUCUGACCAGACCAGGUCCGACGGUGAGGGACGAAGGCUAGGGUCGCGAACCGGAUUAGAUACCCCUGUAGU
rnacentral:rRNA from 1 species